rnacentral:miRNA from 1 species
CAUUGCAUUUGGUUGUCCUUGGCU